rfam:Zea mays cultivar B73 chromosome 6, whole genome shotgun sequence.
GCUGACAACGACGAUGAAUUGAUCUCCUACAUCCUUACCGCCUCGACUAUGAGUACAACCUAGUCGUCACCACCCUUGUCGUAAAUGAUGAGAUCACCAUCAGCGAGGUGUAUUCACAACUGCUUAGUUUUGAGC